UACGGGGGGGCAAGCGUUGUUCGGAAUUACUGGGCGUAAAGGGCUCGUAGGUGGCCAACUAAGUCAGACGUGAAAUCCCUCGGCUUAACCGGGGAACUGCGUCUGAUACUGGAUGGCUUGAGUUUGGGAGAGGGACGCGGAAUUCCAGGUGUAGCGGUGAAAUGCGUAGAUAUCUGGAGGAACACCGGUGGCGAAGGCGGCGUCCUGGACCGACAUUGACGCUGAACGGCGAAAGC
rnacentral:rRNA from 1 species